rnacentral:misc_RNA from 1 species
AGUCGUAACAAGGUAUCCGUAGGUGAACCUGCGGAUGGAUCAUUAACAAAGGUGUUUUUGAAGUUGUGUGAACAGUUGGAGGUGGUGGUAUUGGGUGGUACUGGGUGGUAUUGGGUGGUAUUGGGUGUGUUUGUGGGUGGUCUAACCUUGGUCUAACCUUGGUCAACCUCACUCAACCUCACUCAACCUCACUCAACCUCACUCUCCCAACCUCCACCACUCCGUCCCUAUAAUGUAUACAAACUGAUGUCUGCUAGUUUCAAACUAAAACAACUUUUAGCAACGGAUCUCUUGGCUCUC